rnacentral:rRNA from 1 species
AUUGAACGCUGGCGGCAUGCUUUACACAUGCAAGUCGGACGAGUGGCGAACGGGUGAUUAACUCAUCGGAACUUACCGAGUAAUGGGGGAUAACUGUCCGAAAGGACAGCUAUUACCGCAUACUAUUCGAGCGGCCAAUGUCGGAUUAGCUGGUUGGUGGGGUAAAGGCGCACCAAGGCGACGAUCCGUAGCGGGUCUGAGAGGAUGAUCAGCCACACUGGGACUGAGACACGGCCCAGACUCCUACGGGAGGCAGCAGUGGGGAAUUUUGGACAAUGGGCGCAAGCCUGAUGCAGCCAUGCCGCGUGUAUGAAGAAGGCCUUCGGGUUGUAAAGGACUUUUGUCAGGGAAGCGGUACCUGAAGAAGAAGCACCGGCUAACUACGUGCCAGCAGCCGCGGUAAUUC